rnacentral:rRNA from 1 species
GUGUAUCGCUGAAAUUAGCGGCAGACGGGUGAGUAAUAUUUGGACAAUCUGCCCUCCAGAGGGAAACAACCUGCCGAAAGGCGGGCUAAUAUCCCGUAAGACCACAGAAUCUCAUGGUUCAGGGGUUAAAGCUCCGCAAGGGGCGCUGGUGGAGGAGCCCGAAUCCUAUCACGGUAGUUGGUGAGGUAACGGCUCACCAAGCCUAUGACGGGUAGCCGGCCUGAAAGGGUGAUCGGCCACACUGGCACUGAGACACGGGCCAGACUCCUACGGGAGGCAGCAGUGGGGAAUUUUGGACAAUGGGGGCAACCCUGAUCCAGCGACGCCGCGUGGAGGACGAAGGUCUUCGGAUUGUAAACUCCUUUUGAAGGGGAUGAAUGCCCUGGUGAAGAGCCAGGGGUGACAGUACUCUUUGAAUAAGCCACGGCUAACUACGUGCCAGCAGCCGCGGUAAUACGUAGGUGGCAAGCGUUACUCGGAAUCACAAGGCGUAAAGCGCAGGUAGGCGGUUUGAUAAGUCUCUUGUGAAAGCUCCCGGCUUAACUGGGAGAGGUCAAGGGAAACUGUCAGGCUAGAGUGUGGCAGAGGAAGCUGGAAUUCCCGGUGUAGCGGUGAAAUGCGUAGAUAUCGGGAGGAAUACCUAUGGCGAAAGCAGGCUUCUGGGCCGUCACUGACGCUGAGCUGCGAAAGCUAGGGGAGCAAACAGGAUUAGAUACCCUGGUAGUCCUAGCCCUAAACGAUGCUCAUUAGGUUGUGGAAGGUAUCGACCCCUCCCGCGCCGUAGCUAACGCAUUAAAUGAGCCGCCUGGGGAGUACGGCCGCAAGGUUGAAACUCAAAGGAAUUGACGGGGGCCCGCACAAGCGGUGGAGCAUGUGGUUUAAUUCGACGCAC